AAGCACUUGUGACCAGACUUGUGCCGGGCGGUUCAUCCGGCGAUUCGUCGCCGGUGCACUCCGCCCGUGCCCAGGCCAGCAUCGGUUCCCGCGGGGGGAGAAGGGCGGAGGGAAUGUGGCUCUCCCUCGGGAGAGUGUUAUAGCCCUCCGCACGAUGCCCCCGCAUGGGGACCGAGGAUAUUCGCGGCUUCGGCCAAGGAUGCUGGCGUAAUGGUCACCAG
rnacentral:rRNA from 1 species